UAACUGUUGCGCUUUACGGAGCGGAGCGUAGUAAAGCGUCUGCGGUCCGGGAGGGGCCUGCGGCCUAUCAGGUCGUUGGUAGGGUAACGGCCUACCAAGCCAAUGACGGGUAGCUGGUCUGAGAGGACGACCAGCCAGAGGGGAACUGCGACACGGUCCCCACUCCUACGGGAGGCAGCAGUGAGGAAUCUUCCGCAAUGGGCGAAAGCCUGACGGAGCGACACCGCGUGGAGGAUGAAACCCCUUGUGGGCGUAAACUCCUGUUCUGAGGGACGAAAUUUUUGACGGUACCUCAGGAGAAAGCACCGGCUAAUUCUGUGCCAGCAGCCGCGGUAAGACAGAAGGUGCGAGCGUUACUCGGAAUUACUGGGCGUAAAGCGUCCGUAGGCCUCUUCGUAAGUCUGGUGUAAAAGCUCGGAGCUCAACUCCGGGUACGUACCGGAAACUGCGGGGAUUGAGCCACACAGAGGCACCUGGAAUGCCAUGAGUAGGGGUAAAAUCCGUUGAUCCAUGGUAGAACGCCAAAAGCGAAGGCAGGGUGCUGGGUGUGUGCUGACGCUCAAGGACGAAAGCGUGGGGAGCAAACGGGAUUAGAUACCCCGGUAGUCCACGCCCUAAACGAUGCGUGCUCGGUGUUGGGACUUUUCAAUUGGUCUCAGUGCCCUAAGCUUACGCGGUAAGCACGCCGCCUGGGUAGUACGGCCGCAAGGCUAAAACUCAAAGGAAUAGACGGGGACCCACACAAGCGGUGGAGCAUGGGGUUCAAUUCGUCGUUAAGCGAAGAACCUCACCCAGGCUUGACAUCCUAGAAAUCCCCUGGAAACAGGGGAGUGCCGCAAGGAAUCUAGAGACAGGUGAUGCACGGUCGUCGUCAGCUCGUGCCUUGAGGUGUACUGUUAAGUCAGCGAACGAGCGCAACCCUCGCCCUGUGUUGCAUUUUCACAGGGGACUGCCGCCUCCAAGGCGGAGGAAGGUGGGGAUGACGUCAGAUCAGCGUGUCCUUUAUUGCCUGGGGCGACACCCGUGCUACAAUGGCCGGUACAAAGGGCAGCGAAACCGCGAGGUGAAGCCAAUCCCAAAAAGCCGGUCUCAGUUCAGAUUGCAGUCUG
rnacentral:rRNA from 1 species